rnacentral:lncRNA from 1 species
UGUGAUGGGGUGAAAUCAUGGCAGUGUGAUUUUCAAACACCAACUUGCCUUGGAAGGGAAUGUGGGGAUGUGCACUGCUGGAAGCCAUGUGUUCUGAUAUGAGAAGAACUUCUUCAGAAGGUAUCUUAAUGCAUAUGGGGAAACUGAGGCCCAGUUGUCAUAGCCUUCUCCAGCAUGUGUUCCUUCUGUAUUUCAGACAUGGCAGAGGAGACACAGCAAUAACUAAGGGGCAACUAUUGCAUCCAGAAAAAAAAAAAAUGAAGAUAAUGACUUCUCUGCAACUAAGAUGAAGAUCCACUGAACUUUGGGGUUUGAAAUGCAACGUUAGAACUUCAGACUCCCGGCACCUAGGUCUCCAGCUGCUGGGUGGUGCCAGCAUCAGAGAUACACUCUGCAAAACAUAUACUGUCUUAGGAAAAAGUGACCCUGUUGUCCUUUCAGGCCCAUAUUCCACAAGAAGACAAAUGGAGAUGUAAAAGGAAAACUGCAGCUCCGACUGAAGAGAGAGCAAGUUGUCUGUUCUGAUACAGCCAGGAAAUAAGAUGUUCUGGUUAAUAUGUGCUAAAGAUGUGGUGCUGACUUUCCGACUCAGAAUAUGAUC